rnacentral:rRNA from 1 species
GGAGGGUGCAAGCGUUGUUCGGAAUUAUUGGGCGUAAAGAGCGUGUAGGCGGUCCGGUAAGUCAGAUGUGGAAGCCCUGGGCUCAACCCAGGAAGUGCAUUUGAAACUACCAGACUUGAGUACGGGAGAGGAGGGGGGAAUUCCCGGUGUAGAGGUGAAAUUCGUAGAUAUCGGGAGGAAUACCAGUGGCGAAGGCGCCCCUCUGGACCGAUACUGACGCUGAGACGCGAAAGCGUGGGGAGCAAACAGGAUUAGAUACCCUGGGUAGUCCACGCCGUAAACGAUGAGCACUAGGUGUAGCGGGUAUUGACCCCCCUGCUGUGCCGUAGCUAACGCAUUAAGUGCUCCGCCUGGGGGACUACGGUCGCAAGACUA